AAGUCCCGCAACGAGCGCAACCCCUGCAUUCAGUGCCAUCGGGUAAUGCCGGGCACUCUGGAAGGACUGCCAUCGACAAGAUGGAGGAAGGUGGGGAGUGACGUCAAGUCAUCAUGGCCCUUAUGUCCAGGGCGACACACGUGCUACAAUGGCCGGCACAACGGGAAGCGAGUUCGCGAGGACGAGCGGAUCCCUUAAAGACCGGUCGCAGUUCGGAUUGAAGUCUGCAACUCGACUUCAUGAAGCUGGAAUCGCUAGUAAUCGUGGAUCAGCCAAGCCGCGGUGAAUACGUUCCCGGGCCUU
rnacentral:rRNA from 1 species